UCAGAGAUGUGGCUAGCCUGAUAAAU
rnacentral:piRNA from 2 species